GUGAAAAAUAUUUGCAACAAAAAAAAAAAUAAAAAAAAAUAAUGUUCUGAACGCUGAACACAAGUGAGUAGUGAGUGCAAUAGAAAAGAACAAAAUAGAGUAGUUGUUUGCGUUCUCGUUUCAUACAGUGUUUCGAGUGUUUAGUUAAAACUUUAGCACUUAUUUGAUAUAUUUUAAAAAAAUUAUGAAAAGUUACUUUUUAAAAACUUACAAAACUUUUAAGUGACUCUAGAUGGCCUUUAAUUAUUAAUUAAAAGUAAGGGAAAAAUUAUAAUUAGUGCUUUAAAAAAAAAAA